CAGAUAAGGUUAUACAUGUAGCACGUCGACUGUGCGAAUUAGAGUGCAGUGCUCAAGGGUUUUAAAUUUUUUUCAGAUUACUUUCUAAUAAAACUGCAUUUUUUAAAAACAAAACAAACUAUAAUCAAAGCAAAUUUGAAAGUUUUCAAUUUCAAACUAUUGUUGUAUAUAUAUAUAUCCUCUACUUUUCAACCACAUCAAAUAUCUCUGGUGUAGCAUACCUCCUUAAAUGCCAGUGACAUUACCGGGAAUCCUAAUCCGAUAGAGGCCAAAGAUUACCGCGUUAUCACUGAGUGGUUCCUACUGUAAUGACAAGAAAAAGCUGCAGUUUCUUGGUCUAUGUUGACACGUGCAUGUAAUGCUGAAGUGCAUUAAGAUAAACAUAGAAAAUUCGGUAAAUUCUAUCAAUUCGGCAACUACCGUGCUGUAUAUAAAUACAAUUAUACAUGUACAUAUCAGGCUAUGAACUCUUGCAGGCGUAAAAUGAAAAAAUAAAAUAAAAUAAAACUGUGUUUUACAAAGAAAAAUAACAGCAGCUAGGUCAAACUUGAAAUAGUCAAAACGAAUUUUUUUUUUUCGUGAUUGAUAAUGAUAUGUCUAUCGAAAAAACCCAAUCUAAUUAGAUUGGAAUUUCCUCCCAGAACAUUCGAUAUAUCAUUUUCGAGAUUAAUAUGAUUCCAUAAGGAAAUAUUUCAGACCUAUUGGGAAAAUCCUCCCGAUUCAAUAAUUGAAAUGAAGCAUAAAUAAGAAUGUGCCAUUUCUGAUAAAAUAUCGCAAUGAGACCGAGCAACUUCGCUAUUUUCAACAAAAAUACGUUAAACUAGCUUUCGAGGGAUUCUUCGAGACGUUUGAAACAUGAUUUUUCAUCUUUGGGUCUGCAACACGCAUAGAAAAUCUCUACAGCUGUCUUAUCGUGUUUAUAUUCUAUAAAGGAGAAGCACUUAAUUAAAAUCAUGUUUACAUUCUAUAAAGGAGAAGCACUUAAUUAAAAUCAUGUUUACAUUCUAUAAAGGAGAAGCACUAAUUAAAACCAUGUUUACAUUCUAUAAAGGAGAAGCACUUAAUUAAAAUGACUCUGCGCUGAAUUCCAAUGUUAAAAUUUUCAUGCAGGAGGACUUUUACCUCACGUGAGCUAGUGUCACAUGACUUUGACAUGGUACUAUCUGUUACAGCGACUUUUAUGUUGGUGAAUAUUCAUUGGUAAAGCCCAGCGACUUUUAUGUUAGUGAAUAUUCAUUGGUAAAGCCCAGCGACUUUUAUGUUGGUGAUAUUCAUUGGUAAAGCUCAGCGACUUUUAUGUCAGUGAAUAUUCAUUGGUAAAGCUCAGCGACUUUUAUGUUAGUGAAUAUUCAUUGGUAAAGCCCAGCGACUUUUAUGUUAGUGAAUAUUUAAGAAAUAAGGUAUCAUUUAAAAAUAUUUAUCGGGAUAUAAAUACGGGUUGGUCACGUGAUCAAAUUCCAUAAAGCCCGAAGGGCUUUAUGGAAAAUUUGACCAUGUAGCAACCCGUAUUUAUAUCCCGAUAAAUAUUUUAAAAUGAUAUCUUAUUACUUAUAUUUACAUUUUUGGUCGGUAACAUUGCUGAAUUGUGUUAACAACACGUUUCCAUACAUUUCAAAUUGUUGACGUCCACAACGAAGCGUCAUAGAUGUUCAAAAUGACGACAACACAAAACAAAGUUCUAUAAAAUGAAGAACUGUUUUAAUUAUUAAGACGCUAGAAAGCAAGUAUAUCAACAUAUACUUAUACAUUAACUCGGGAGUAUAUAAUGGAAAACUCUUCCAUGUGUCUAAUUUUAGGGGGUGGGGGAAUUAUGAUUUAAACGGGGAUGCGCAGUGUUACACUUAGAGUUGUGAUGCGCUUUGACUUUUGAAAAGUGAAGACGUUGAAGACCGACUUUGAAAGAUAUUCUGUGGAUAUUACGGAGUUAACAGAAGACUGAGAUGGAGGAACAUGAAGAACAGGGCGGCAGUCGUCAGGUGUAGGCAAAUUAUUUAUAGACAGGACAGCUCGACAGAGGACGCAGCUCAGAUGAAUCUCCGGAAAGAACUGAACAUCGCAGAGAAUGUGGAACUGCACGAAGGUUGUUAACGACGCCUCGCUUCGAUGUCCCGACAUAAACUUGGAAACCGACAUCAAGCACUAUGGCUGCUGUGGCACGGAAGCAGUGUGGUGUGUAGGUCUUAAUGCACUUUGACGACUUAUCGGCCAUACAUCCUGUGAACGACCUUUUUGCUAAAGCCUAAUGUCAUCGUCUAGCAGUAGGUACAAUUCCGCAUCACCGAUGACCAAGGUGAAGUAGCAGACGAAAUUUUAGACAUACAUUAGGCCUAGUAGGCUAGUAACUAAAGACAUUGUUUACAGUUAUGAUUUUAUCAAUUAUUGAUGAAAGUCCACUGCUUGGAAUACAAAUAAAACCGUAAAUACAUU